GACGAACGCUGGCGGCGUGCCUAACACAUGCAAGUCGAACGCUGAAGCACCAGCUUGCUGGUGUGGAUGAGUGGCGAACGGGUGAGUAAUACGUGAGUAACCUGCCCUUGACUCUGGGAUAAGCCCGGGAAACUGGGUCUAAUACUGGAUGCUACAUGUCACCGCAUGGUGGUGUGUGGAAAGGGUUUACUGGUCUUGGAUGGGCUCACGGCCUAUCAGCUUGUUGGUGAGGUAAUGGCUCACCAAGGCGACGACGGGUAGCCGGCCUGAGAGGGUGACCGGCCACACUGGGACUGAGACACGGCCCAGACUCCUACGGGAGGCAGCAGUGGGGAAUAUUGCACAAUGGGCGAAAGCCUGAUGCAGCGACGCCGCGUGAGGGAUGACGGCCUUCGGGUUGUAAACCUCUUUCAGCAGGGAAGAAGCCACAAGUGACGGUACCUGCAGAAGAAGCGCCGGCUAACUACGUG
rnacentral:rRNA from 1 species